rnacentral:lncRNA from 1 species
GCUUAAAUGCACUUUUGAUCCUCCUAUUUUCAAAAAAAUGAAGUUUUGGUCCCCCUAUUUUAAAAACCAGUUUUUUAGUCCCCCUAUUUUCAUUUUUUUUUAGUUUUGAUCCCUCAUCCCAUUUUGAAGUUAAUUUUGUUCAUGUGGCCUUGUAACUAAUGAUGUGGGAACAUUCAUGUGGACAAAUUUAAUAUCCAUGUCAUUAUUAUAUAAUUUUAAUGGGGGCUAUGGAUUGUUUGGUGUGAUUUUUGAUGUUUUUGAAUUAUUUUUUGAUUGAUUUCUUUUUAAAAAAUACUAUAAUUUUAAUAAUUAAAAUAUUUUAUAAAAUAAGUUUUAUUGAAUUAAAAAUAAAUAAUGACAUGGAUAUUAAAUUUGUCCACGUGGACGCUGAUAUGUAUUAAUGGCAAUGCCACGUCAACAAAAUUAGCCCUAAAAUGGGAUGGGGGAUCAAAACUCAAAAAAAGUUAAAAUUGGGGGACUAAAAAGUUGGUUUUUAAAAUAGGGGGACCAAAACUUCAUUUUUUUGAAAAUAGGGGGAUCAAAAGUGCAUUUAA